AAAGGGCUGUAGUCUCCACAUUCGCGCUUUUGGUUCCUGCUCUUUAGUACCUGCAAGCAAAGCAAGGACAAGUCCUGCACAAGUCAAGCGCAGAAUAUCUAGGCCAAAGCCUAAAAGUCUGCAGCCAAACCAAAUCUAAUUGGCAGAUGGAAUCAUGGCAUGGCAGAACAAUAAACAGAGGCAGGUGGAAAACAGGCACAAGUCAAGGCAGAGUCAGUGAUGGAACAGCAGUAAUGUUAGACAGUGGACCAUCGCACAUAAAUCUGGUUGCCAGCAUCAGAGUCAUGCAUGUCAACCCAUUGAUAGUUUGUGAAAGCACCAUAAUACUGGAAGUUGAGGCCCUGCUAUAUCUGCCUUGACCUUGAUCCCUGAGGUUCCGUGACCUGCGAACAGUUUCUGGAGAAAGCACGAAGACAGAGGCUAUUCGAACAAGCCUAUGGCAUAGGCCAUAUAGAGAAGACCUUACCAUCUCAACGCAGCUCCUUCCAGUCUGGGCAG